rnacentral:rRNA from 12 species
UUUCCUAUGGGGGUAGAGCACUGGAUGGGCUAGGGGGUCGCGAGACCUACCAAACCUAACCAAACUCCGAAUACCAUAGAGACAAGUCCGGGAGACAGACGGCGGGUGCUAAGGUCCGUCGUCAAAAGGGAAACAGCCCUAACCUACAGCUAAGGUCCCCAAGUCAUAUCUAAGUGGGAAAGCAUGUGGGAAUCCCAAAACAACCAGGAGGUUGGCUUAGAAGCAGCCAUCCUUUAAAGAAAGCGUAAUAGCUCACUAGUCGAGUCGGCCUGCGCGGAAGAUGUAACGGGGCUCAAACUGGUUACCGAAGCUGCGGCUGUGCACGCAAGUGCACGGGGUAGGGGAGCGUUCUGUAAGCCUGCGAAGGUGUGUCGAGAGGCAUGCUGGAGGUAUCAGAAGUGCGAAUGCUGACAUGAGUAACGACAAUGGGGGUGAAAAACCCCCACGCCGGAAGACCAAGGGUUCCUGCGCAACGCUAAUCGGCGCAGGGUGAGUCGGCCCCUAAGGCGAGACCGAAAGGUGUAGUCGAUGGGAAACGGAUUAAUAUUUCCGUACCUUGGAUAGCUGCGAUGGAGAGACGGAGAAGGCUAGGUGAGCCGGGCGACGGUUGUCCCGGUUUAAGCAUGUAGGCAGUGGGAUUAGGCAAAUCCGGUCCCACAAUGCCGAGACGCGACGACGACUGCCCUUUUAGGGCGGGAAGUCAUUGAUGCCCUGCUUCCAGGAAAAUCUUCUAAGCUUCAGGCUAUUCGAGACCGUACCCCAAACCGACACAGGUGGUCAGGUAGAGAAUACCAAGGCGCUUGAGAGAACUCGGGUAAAGGAACUAGGCAAAAUGGUGCCGUAACUUCGGGAGAAGGCACGCCGGUGGUAUGUGACGCCCUUCGCGGGUUGAGCAGAAGCCGGUCGAAGAUACCAGGCCCCUGCGACUGUUUAUUAAAAACACAGCACUCUGCAAACACGAAAGUGGACGUAUAGGGUGUGACGCCUGCCCGGUGCCGGAAGGUUAAUUGAUGGGGUUAGCGCUUGCGCGAAGCUCUUGAUCGAAGCCCCGGUAAACGGCGGCCGUAACAAUAACGGUCCUAAGGUA